rnacentral:lncRNA from 1 species
CCUCCCAAAGCUGAAGCCAAAGCAAAGGCUUUGAAGACCAAGAAGGCAGUGCUGAAAGCCAUCAACAGCUAUAAAAAAUAAAAAUAAAAAAUAAAAAUAAAUCUGCCCAUCACCCACCUUCCGGGCUCGAGACACCACGGCUCCAAAGGCAGCCCAAAUAUGCUCAGAAGAGCGCCCCCAGGGGAAACAACCUUGACCACUGUGCCAUCAGCACAUUCCCCCUGACCACUGAGUCGGCCACAAAGAAGGUAGAGGACAACAACACGCUUGUGUUUGCUGUCGUUGUUAAACCCAACAAGCAGCAGAUCAAACAGGCUUGAAGAAACUCUACGACGUUGGUGUAGUCCAGGUCAACACCCUGAUUAGGCCUGAUGGAGAAAAGAGGGCAUAUGUUCCACUGGCGCUCCUAACUGUGAUGCUUUGGAUGUUGCCAACAAAAAUUGAGACCAUCUA